GCGAAAUACGAUAAUUGGUACAAGUUACAACACAAAGGGCCGACCUACUGCGAAUAGGUCGGCCCU
rnacentral:antisense_RNA from 17 species